rnacentral:misc_RNA from 1 species
AAGAAUCCAACCUAGCUUACGAGCUCCAUAUUUGAAAGCACUGUGUAUUCGAUAAAAAUUUCCUCUACUAACACUGCGUCCAAGGUUGUUAUUUUCUUUAAGCGGAUCAAUUAUAUUUAGAUGCUUGAGGGUAAGAACCCUCAAGCUUGGCUCAGACCUCCCUGAUGAAAUUGAGAACAUUUCCGUGCAGUUUCUAACGAAGUCAUCACUCAGCAAUAGCUCAUGACCACCAUUUUCUGGUGUUUCAGCCACAAUAUCAGGUAAGGAAGAUUUGCUGACGGGUCCAUGCAGG